GGGCUGCUGGGCCGGGCGGCGAGCACCCCCAGGCGCCCCAGGCGAGGUUGGGGCUCCGGUGACAGCCCCGAGCGCCGGCCUCCCGAGCUGGCCGGGCAGCCGCGCCUUCUCCUCCGACCCGCCCUCGGGAGCCGCCGCCACUUCCUGGGGUGUCCGGGCUCGGAUGUGGGCCUGCCUCCGGCGUGGGGGCAAAGACGAGGGCGGAGAAGAGAGCAAGCAGGUUGCUGUUUUGGGGGAUUGGGCGCCGCGGCGGCGUUCCGGCCGGUGGACCUGCGGGAUCUGGGAGAGGGGCCCGCGAGGCUGCGGCUGGGGGACCCAGCUUGAAGAUGGGGCUCCCCCCCAUCCCUGCGGAAAAGAAGUGGACGAGUUCGCUUGAAUGGCCCAGACUACACGCUUUGGGAGCGAAGCAAGGAGCCUCGGUCACUCCCACGCCGGCAAGCAGGAGGAGAGCAGCCGGCUUUAUUUACAAUCUACACAGCUGCCCUGUCAAGGAACUGUGACUGCCUCCAUUGCACAGAUGGAAAAAAACGACGAUCAGGAGUUGACCUUCCAUUGUGAUCCUACAGAAUCCACUUUCUUCACUUGGCUACGGGAACACCUGACUUUCCUGGUCUUCCUCACUUCACUGGCACUCCUUCUCUUUGAUGGGCUUCUCCUCCUCCUCCCCUUGUGGAAGGCCCCAGGCCAUGUCCAUGAUGCUCUUUUCUGUCUAUACUCCUUAGGGCUGAUUUAUAAUGUCUGCAUGCUGAUGACUACAAAGUUUCUGUCUCUAGCCAAGACCCCCACCCCCAGACUAAUAUGCAACUGCCUAUCAUACUGCCAUCUCAAACUCAGCACAUCUUGCCCCCAACAACUUACUACCUACACUCCACUCCCACUCUUACCUACCUCAGAGAAUGGUACCGUUGUUCACCCAGUUCCCCACGCCCCAAACCUAAAAGUGUCAUCAGUGUGUCUCUCUUACUCUUAAACUAGAGGCCCGGUGCACAGAAUUGUGCACUGGUGGGGUUUCUCGGCCUGGCCUGCACCCUCUUGCAAUCUGGGACCCCUCAGGUUAAUGUCA